CCCAAGCUAGUUUGGGCUCAU
rnacentral:snRNA from 1 species